AAAGGUUUCUCAUUGGUGAAAGGAGUUUUACUGUGCUGGCCAAUCAGCAGUAAAUAUACAUUUACGUAAUUUCCAUAGACAAGGUGGCGGCGAUAAGACGUGAGACAUAUGUACAGUGAGACAAAACGAUGACCGCAUCGACGGCGAAUCCUUCAGAGAUGAUUGUUUAUAUCUGCGUCCUUUUUGUACAAUAGAGUACAGAAUACAUCCUGUCUCCAACUAAUGCAGAGUAUAUUCAAGCUGCCAACAGACUGGUUUUGAAGAACCCUUUCCAGAGAAAUAUAGAAAGAAAUGACUGUGUAAGUUACAUUGUUUUUAAACCAUUGAUUUAUCUCUAUCAACAUAAUCACACACAAUAUUGUAGUAACAAGAUGUUGUAAUCUUUAUUUGCUGGAAAAUGACAAUCAGUCAAGUUUGUGUUUUGAGCACAUCUGACACAUCCCUAAACCUGAAAUG